CUCCAGUUAGCCUAGUGGUAAAGGCUAUGGACCGCCAAUCCGGAGACGGCGGGAUCGAUUCCCGUUCCGGGCA
rnacentral:tRNA from 1 species